rnacentral:rRNA from 1 species
CUACGGGUUGCAGCAGUGGGGAAUCUUAGACAAUGGGCGCAAGCCUGAUCUAGCCAUGCCGCGUGAGUGACGAAGGCCUUAGGGUCGUAAAGCUCUUUCGCUGGGGAAGAUAAUGACGGUACCCAGUAAAGAAACCCCGGCUAACUCCGUGCCAGCAGCCGCGGUAAUACGGAGGGGGUUAGCGUUGUUCGGAAUUACUGGGCGUAAAGUGCGCGUAGGCGGAUCAGAAAGUUGGGGGUGAAAUCCCAGGGCUCAACCCCGGAACUGCCUUCAAAACUCCUGGGAUUGAGUUCGGGAGAGGUGAGUGGAAUUCCGAGUGUAGAGGUGAAAUUCGUAGGUAUUCGGAGGAACACCAGUGGCGAAGGCGGCUCACUGGCUCGAUACUGACGCUGAGGUGCGAAAGCGUGGGGAGCAAACAGGAUUAGAUACCCCCGUAGUC